AACGAACGCUGGCGGCAUGCCUAACACAUGCAAGUCGAACGAGACCUUCGGGUCUAGUGGCGCACGGGUGCGUAACGCGUGGGAACCUGCCCUUAGGUUCGGAAUAACUCCCCGAAAGGGGUGCUAAUACCGGAUAAUGUCUUCGGACCAAAGAUUUAUCGCCUUUGGAUGGGCCCGCGUUGGAUUAGCUAGUUGGUAGGGUAAAAGCCUACCAAGGCGACGAUCCAUAGCUGGUCUGAGAGGAUGAUCAGCCACACUGGGACUGAGACACGGCCCAGACCCCCAGGGGGGGGAGAAGGGGGGAAUAUGGGAAAAGGGGGGAAAGCCUAAUCCAGCAAGGCCGGGUAAGUGAGUAAGGCCUUAGGGUUAAAAAGCUCUUUUACCGGGGAUGAAAAGAAGGUUCCCGGGAAAAAAAGCCCCGGUAACCCCGUU
rnacentral:rRNA from 1 species